UACGUAGGGGGCAAGCGUUGUCCGGAUUUAUUGGGCGUAAAGAGCGUGUAGGCGGCUAGGUAGGUCCGUUGUGAAAACUCGAGGCUCAACCUCGAGACGCCGGUGGAAACCAUCUAGCUAGAGUCCGGAAGAGGAGAGUGGAAUUCCUGGUGUAGCGGUGAAAUGCGCAGAUAUCAGGAGGAACACCGAUGGCGAAGGCAGGUCUCUGGGCCAUUACUGACACUGAGAAGCGAAAGCAUGGGGAGCGAACAGG
rnacentral:rRNA from 1 species